GCCGCUUGUAGAAUUCGGCUAAGCCAUGCAAGUCAGAGCACCUUGAGUGCUCGCGAACGGCUCAGUAACACGUAGCUAACCUACCCUAUGAUGGCGGAUAACCUUGGGAAACUGAGGGUAAUACGCCAUAGUUGAUUAUUAUUGGAAUAUAUUUUCUACGAAAGUCUUCGGACGUCGUAGGAUGGGGCUGCGGUGGAUUAGGCUGUUGGUGGGGUAAUGGCCCACCAAACCUGUGAUCCAUAUGGGCUCUGAGAGGAGUAGCCCAGAGAAGGGAACUGAGACAAGGUCCCUAGCCCUACGGGGUGCAGCAGGCGCGGAACCUUUACAAUGCACGAAAGUGUGAUAAGGGAAUUCUACGUGCAAGCUAUGCUUGCUUUUCUCAAGUCUAAACCGCUUGGGGAAUAAGGGCUGGGCAAGACCCGUGCCAGCCGCCGCGGUAAUACGGGCAGCUCUAGUGGCGUUCGCGAAUAUUGGGCCUAAAGCGUACGUAGCCUGUUAAACAAGUUUCUGGUGAAAGCUUGCGACUUAAUCGUGAGAGUUGCCAGAAAAACUGUUUGACUUGGGACCGGAAGAGGUCGGAGGUAUUCCAGGGGUAGGGGUAAAAUCCUGUAAUCCUUGGAGGACCAUCGGUGGCGAAGGCGUCCGACUGGGACGG
rnacentral:rRNA from 1 species